GACGAACCGUGCGAACGUUGUUCGGAAUCACUGGGCUUAAAGGGCGCGUAGGCGGCCCGCCGCGUCCGGGGUGAAAUCCUCCCGCUCAACGGGAGAACGGCCUCGGAUACGGGCGGGCUGGAGGCGGGUAGGGGCAGGCGGAACUGUGGGUGGAGCGGUGAAAUGCGUUGAGAUCCACAGGAACACCGGUGGCGAAGGCGGCCUUCUGGACAGUGACUGACGCUGAGACGGCGAAAAGCGUGGGGAGCAAACAGGG
rnacentral:rRNA from 1 species